CCCCUAGAUGUUCUGGGCCGCACGCGCGCUACACUGAACAGUUCAACAAGUCUUAACCUUGGCCGAUAGGUCUGGGUAAUCUUUGAACGCUGUUCGUGAUUGGGAUAGACCUUUGCAAUUAUGGGUCUUCAACGAGAAAUUCCUAGUAAACGCAAGUCAUCAGCUUGCAUUGAUUACGUCCCUGCCCUUUGUACACACCGCCCGUCGCACCUACCGAUUGAAUGGUCCGGUGAAAUCUCGGGACGGCGGCUUGGUCGCUUGCGUCCGACUGCUGAAACUUGAUUAAACCCUAUCAUUUAGAGGAAGGUGAAGUCGUAACA
rnacentral:rRNA from 1 species